GAAAUGCGAUAAGUAAUGUGAAUUGCAGAAUUCAGUGAAUCAUCGAAUCUUUGAACGCACCUUGCGCUCCUUGGUAUUCCUUGGAGCAUGCCUGUUUGAGUAUCAUGAAAUCUUCAAAGUAAAUCUUUUGUUAACUCAAUUGGUUUCUACUUUGGUAUUGGAGGUCGUUGCAGCUUCACACCUGCUCCUCUUUGUUCAUUAGCUGGAUCUCAGUGUUAUGCUUGGUUCCACUCGGCGUGAUAAGUUAUCUAUCGCUGAGGACACUGUAAAAGGUGGCCAAGGUAAAUGCAGAUGAACCGCUUCUAAUAGUCCAUUGACUUGGACAAUACUUUUAUGAUCUGAUCUCAAAUCAGGUAGGACUACCCGCUGAACUUAAGC
rnacentral:misc_RNA from 1 species